AUACGAAAAGGGCAAACCCCGGGAAACCUGGGGACGCAAAGUCACAGGCCUGCGCUUGCCAAGGAGGUAAGCAUGGCGGCUGGACUGCCGAA
rnacentral:ncRNA from 1 species